rfam:Oryza glumipatula chromosome 12, whole genome shotgun sequence.
CUUAAACGCAACAAUGAGUUUACAUGUUCAUGUUCAACUUUAAUGAUCUGUCUUGUUUGAAUUUUUCUAGAUUAGUAUUUUUUUAUUAUUAGAUGAUAAAACAUGAAUGAUAAUUCAUGUGUGACUUAUGUUUUUUUAUUUUUUUUUAAAAAAAUUAAAUUAGGCGGACGAUUAAAGUUGUACGCGAAACUUUAUGGCUGCGCUUAAA